UUAUCGCGUUGUCAUUUUCUCUUUGUUAAUUAACCGUACCUGAGAAACACAAGGGAAACUUGCAGCUAUGCAUGUGGAUAAAUAAGAAUAGAGCGUAUGAUGUAUGGAGAAAAUAAACUCCACCCCACUGUGCAGGAGAGAGCUGUAUUUUUGUCAGGGGUUCCUGUGACAACGCAAACCCCAGCAGGGAAGCUCAGGUGCUUUGUAUGUGUCACCGAGAGCCUGGGUAAAUAUACAGCCUGUAAUGCGCAUGGUUUGGGCGUAUUUUAAAUUCCAUGUUACCUUAACGCCGGUAAAGGAACGGUGCCUGAUAUAAACAGACUUUAGGCUUUUCUCACCAAUUUGCAAUUUGUUAUAUCCUUUUAUUAUGUCAACCAAAUUCUGGGUCUUUCCCCUCAAAAAUAAAGUGGUAGGACCAUUACUGCAUCACCUUCUGAUUCCCAUCCUUCUCCCUGCCGCUGUCUCAAAGCCCGCCGUCCGGCGCCUGCAGUGGCCACGUGGAGGUCUGAUUUCCAGACAGGCCACGGGGCCACCUUGCUUCGCCGAGCCCCUUGGCAAGCUUCGACAGCUGUAAGCACGCCCUCCCGGCGUCUCCGCGUGCCAGCAGAGGGGCCCGUUUCUGUGUUUCUGACGUGUUGGGAAGGCGAGUGGGGGUCCGGGGUGCGCUUUGCAUUUGGGGACUGCGGAAGUGGUUGUGUUGCAAAUUCUGCGAGGAAAAUGCUUUUCUCCAGGAACUGACGGUCACCAAGAAAUGCGGUCGUGCUCUGCCCUGAACGGGCCGGAAAACCGUGGUCCUCACAGGCAGGAGCUCUGGCCUCGCUGGCCCGGGUGUGGGUUUCGUCUGAGUGCUUUCCAAUAGAGGGCACCAUAGCAGUGCACUAGGCUGUGGUCGGGAGACCCCCAGUCGCCACGUCUGUCUGAGGACAGACUUGAGAGUGGGGGCAGAGGGAGCUCUGCGAUCGGCUCUGUGCCGGUCCCGCGGAGCACGGGGUGCCGUCGGUGCUGCUGGCAGACCCUGGUGAUGCUCCGCGUGUCCCGUGCCGCCCGCAUGCCGUGCACCCCAGCCACCUCCCGGGCCAGGAAGGUGUGGGUCCCUGACACGCCGCGUGCCUCCCACCGAUCUCCAGAUCCCCGGUGGGCUCCCAGGGAGGGUUCCUGAGUCAGACGGCCACGCGCGGGUGUGCCUACAAGGCCCACGUCCCCGGCGGGGCUCGGCCACUUGCGGCCGGGGACCCGCCCAUCAGAGCAGACCGAGGUGACCCCGCAGCCCCUCGUGGCCUGGCACCGCCUGCUUGGGCCGUGCCCUUGGCGCAGUACAGACCGCAUCCUGUUUUCUGUCUCCCGGGGCUUCCUCGGCCCUGUCAGAACGGGCCUGAUAGAUGCCCCGAGGUUCCCGCUGACAGAGGCACGGCCGUGUACCGUUCUAAGGACAAGCUGUGCGGGGGCCCACAUGAAAAGCCAGCACAGUCGCCUAGAGCCACUGCUGCUCAAGGUUGCAGUGCAGCUUAUGGAAAUAAGGAGGAAAAGGAAAGGCACAAAGAAACACAAAAAUACUUUCCAAAUAAAAAGAAAUGUGGAAACAAGAAUUAGUCGUGUUCUUCGGCCUCAGCCUCGGGUCCCCUGCACUAACGUGGCGCAUGGUACUUUGAACGCAGACACGGAGACCCACGGGGGCGGGACAGCCGGCUCCGUGCAGCGGCCGUUGUUUGCUGUUCUCCCCCGUUUCCAGAGACCGGGACGAUGAGAGGUUCGGAGAAAAGAGUUGUUUUUGUGGAGCCACGUGCAUACGGUACGGAUGCCCUUGGCCACGCAGGAGCCGAGGUUUCCAACAGGUGGCUGUGUUCUCCAGUGCCUUUUCCGUGUGGAGAAGCCCCAGGUAAGCCCACCGUCGUCCACCGCGUCCUCUGGCUGCAUCAAGGGGCGAAGUGACAGCACGGGUCUGCCGCCGUUGCGCCCAGAGAAGAAACCUCGCGGUGUCUUGCGCGGGCAGGGGCUGGAGGGGAUGUGGCCGAAGACAGAGCCGCAGACCACGUGGGUCGGCUGCUCCCAGUUCUAGAUACAAAGGGUGCGGGCAGGGCCCAUUCCGGAGAACGCAGGUAAGCUCACCUUGCAAGCGACUUAGUUGGGGCUUUCAAUCCUUGCCUGCUUCUUAGCAGAAGCGUUGCUUGAACAACCUAGAGAGACUGAAGCCGUUUCUAACCCAAAUGUCUUUGGGAACAAGUUUUCUUCCAAGUCGCCUGUCUGUACACCGCGUGCUCACACAGUCGCCUCUUUUGGGUGGCCAGGUGUGUCGAGUGCAGGUGUGUUUAUGUCAAAACCAUCGUUUAACCGGGUCAUGAACAACAACGUUGUCCCAGAACUUCCUUCAAAACUGUAAUAUGGGAACAAAACCCUGUUCAAGGGGGUUGCUUCGAAACCUAAGUGGUGGCUCGAUCCAGCGGGUCCCAGUGGGGUCUGCGUGCUGCUCCAGAUGUCCUUGUCCUCCCUGCUGUGGGCCCGGCAGGGGCAGGCGGGCACUGCUGGCUGUGUCUCCUGCCACCGGCACCCACAGCCAUGACCACGGGCGGCCGCGCCGGCCCCAGCCUCGGCCACGGUUGGAGCAGGUGGGACGUCACAGCUGAAUCGACGUGAAGACUGUUCAGAGCUUGCCGGAGAUCUUUGUGUGAUUUGGGUUUCAGGCCGCACACAGAGGACUCUGAAGUAACAAAUGACUUCACGUGGGACACACAGAAAGAGUUUAUUUCACUCAGAACACUGUCCUAUAAGGGCGGGAAACUAAGGCCUUCUCCAUGGUCCGAGAGCCGCCAUGUCUCUGGGCAUCCCAGUGCGUGCUUUGCGUGUUUUCUUGCUGCUGUGCCGGCGGUGGGGUCACAGAGGGGGAUUUAACUUGGCUUGGUCUCCUUCGGCCCGUGUGCGGUUGCUUUCUCGUUCGCCAGCGUUUGAUGGAGAGUUUGUGUUUAGGAAACUGAAGUUCACAUCAAUUUUGCCCGUUAUCAGUUUGAAAGACGUGGAGAUUUAAAUGGAACCCUGCCAUGCAGCCCCUGUCUGUCUGUCCGUCUGUCUGAAGGAAAGGGGGUGACAGUUGAAAGGCAGGCCCAGAGCCUGGAGAAAGUGCAGGUCCCGACGCGUCUGUGAGCGGCUGAGGGCAGCUGUGCAGGGUCCGUGGACGCCGUGGCUCCAGCUGCCGACAGACGAGCACGUCUGGCCUCCAUCAGCCGGCCGGCUCCGCGGGCUGGGGGGCGAGGCGCAGGCCAGGGGCCCGGACAGCAAGGCGCUGCGGGACGCAGAGCCCAGCCUGAUGAAAGGAUGUCGUUAACGAGUCUUUAAAGUUGUCUCAGUGUUUUUUCAUGGAAAAAAGCCACAAGAAGAAGAUUCCGCAUGGACGCUAGUUAAGAUCGAUCACGAAAAAUGCGGCACUGGGGUCAUAGGGCACCUUCACAGAGCCUCGUGUUCAGCACCCUGUUCUGAGCUGCCUUCCUGGGUUCCUGGUGAGCGGAGCUCGUCUGUGGGUGUCGGUGCUCAGCCGGACCAGGGGCCCCGCGUCUGAGGACGUGAGAAGGAGCUUCAGUGCCCUCAUCAUUGUGAACUCUGGUGCCACUGGGGCAGAAAUGACUGCUGGCUGCCAGCCAUCCUGGGGAUCGCUCUGCACGGCUUUUCCUCAUAUGUGUGGUUCCUGCCCACACACACCCUUCCUGGGGCGAGGGGUGCGAGGGGCACAGGAGAGAGGCCAGGGACUUUGUCUCCCCUCUUUCCUUGCCUCUCAGAGGUGGAGUCCAACCCCCCCCCCCCGGCGGGCACACCACCGCGCACAAACACACACACACCUGAGGCUUUCCUUAAGUCUCCCGCUACACGUCACUUCUGUUUGGUUCCCAAACAUGAGCAACAUGUUUGCUUCCAGAUUGGUUUGUUGACUUAAAUUAAGAAAAACCCAGCUGGAGAAAAUAUCAGUGUCCAAACAUUAAGCAACAUGUGAUACUGUGCAAAAAGUCUUGCUUUUGGAUGUUUUGAUGGCCAUGGCUCCCAGAAGAAGUGGAUGCCUGUGUGAGGCUCUUGGCAGGCAGUGCAGGGGCAGGUAUGCAGGGCUGGGCUGCACUCCCCAGCAGGCGGUUUGGGCCCCGGGCUCUGUGGGAAAGCCCUGGAGCCUGGGGCACCCCCAGCCCCAGGCACAUCUCCGAGGGACCUUCAGAGGGGAGUCUGAAUCUGUGCCCAGGAAGGAAGGGCCAGCCCUGGCCAUCUUUGGGAUUUAAUCAGUCGAGAGCCCGAGAGAACAGGCUAGAGGGCCCUGACCACCCGCUCACCUGGCAACCACACGAGGGGCAUCCUGUGCCAUGUGCAACCCACCAGGUGAGGGAGGCCCGCGGGACAGAGGAGGCUGGGGGCUAGGCUGAGCUCACAGCCCUUGUGGAUGGGUUCCUUUGGGGAGUGAGACAGACCCUCCCCCUCCCCCCGGCAGUGUUAAACUUGUGACAGCUUGGAGAUCCUUCCAGAUACAGAUCCUUCCAGAUAAGCGUGCGGUGCUCCUGCUGAACGCAAAUCCUCAGUGCCAGAUGGUUCUAGUCCAGCCAGAGCAAGCUCGACCUGGGCCCAGCACGUUCUCCGGAUGCUUCCUUCACAGGCCUUGCUUUGCUCUUUUGAGGCCCAAAAAGGGGAAGUACUCUGAGCAGAAACCUCUGUGUGAGAGGCCGCGUCUGGGCAGAGCCCUCACCGUUGUGGCUGCUGUGCUUACCCCGCUGGAGCAGCCCUUCUUGGAUGUCCUGUGGGCCUCCCUGCAGCCGCCUCCCGUGAGGACCUUCCCCCGUACCCGGGAACGUCUGUGUCCUCUUGUUCACACCUGUCUGAGUGCCGACUAUGGGGACCUGGCCCUUCCCCCCUUCUGUGUUCUCGCUGCUCCGGGUGGGCCUUCCGGAUCCAUCUUUCCUCCUCUUGUCCUUCAGGUGUUGCUGAGUUCCUGUCGCACUUGCUGUGCUCUGCAGGGCGUCUGCAUCCGGGGAUGGGGUCACACUGUGUAUCCCUGGACACAGCCCACAGCUCCCAGCACCCCCCAGGCAGUCCCCCCGCCCCCGGAAGGAGGUGGUGGGGCGGGGCUGCUUCGGCCCCAUUGCUCUCAUCAGCAAGAGUCAAGAGCGGGGUCCUGGGCACGUUGAAAGACGAGGGCAGGAACCCGUGAGCCGGGGGACAGCCCGUGAGCUGGGAAGAGGGCUGUGACUUGGCAGGCCCAUGAACCCAUACCUGCCAUCUGGAUGCACCGGCCUGGGGAGCCCACCCUUUGCUGUACUCAAGUUCAAACCUAGUAUGGGCAAGUGUUCCUAGGAUGUUCUCUUCACGGUAGUUCUGCUCUUUCUAGAAUUUCAGUAUUCUCCCUCAAGUGGUCUUCUGUACCACAAUUUAGACCAUUUUUCUUGGGAAAAGGGCUUUCGUGGCUUCACAGGCUUUGGCUGUGAUCCUCUCUUCCUAUGCAGCCUCCCCAGGUGACCCUGCCCUGAUGACCCCAUCAAAUGUGCGGGACAGCUUAAGUCUGGGCUCACAGGUUACUCGCCUCAGCCGAGACCCUUGCUGAAGAGGGCAGAGCAGUAGCCGUGACCACACUGUCCACCUUACUGGCCCCGUCAGAGUCUCCAGUCAGGUGAGGUGGAUGGAAGAAAAGUCCUGAGCCAGAAAUGGAACAUUCUAGAACAUUCUGGAGCCAGCUCCCACAGAGCCUGUGGAAGAGCUGUUGGCUGGAAGUCAGUCUGGUCGUGGAAUGAAGAGGCCACCCAGGCCCUGCACACAGGUGCAGACAGCCUCCCACUUUGGGGUGGGAGGGCAGUGCCUUCCAGAGACCCUGUUCCGCUGUGGGUGGUCCUCAGAGCCCCCGGGCCCCAUGCCAGUGGGUCCCCAUCCCUCUCCUGGGACACAGCAGCAGGCUGUGGUUCCUCCCUUCUCCCCAGCAGAGGCCCUCCGUCUUUGUGUUCACCAUCCUCCAGCCGUGCCUGGGAGCAUCUUAGCCUGGCCAAUGGCUACACCCAGGGCAGAGAGUGGGCCCAGAGUGUCCCAGCCCCUGACCCUGUGCCUUCAGAGGUCACGGAGCCCGAGUCCACUGAACACAUGACCUCGCCCAGACACACAGCCUCCACCUCUGUGAGGACAGUGUCUGCAGAUGUCCGUGCCAACCUUGAACUGGGUGGAACAUGCGUCUGGAAAGGAGAGAGGAGGCCCCCAAGGAGGGCUGUGCCCAGGAACCACAGUCUGUUCCUCAGGACCCCUCCUGGCCACCAGAGGAUGUGUCUCUGUUCCAGGUGGCGUGCAGAUGGUCCAGCCUCACCGCCCGUACGUGGAAAGGCCUGGGGCGGCGUGGCCCUCGGAAACAGGUGCGUCCAGAGCAGUGGCCAAGAACCGCCCGGGGUCCACAUCCCCGCCCUCGCCACUGCCUCGGCCCCCCCCUGCAGACCACGAAGGACCCGCCCCAUCUCUGACUCUGGGUGACUACAAGGGCUGAGACAGAGAAGGGAGGAGAGUUCCGGUUCCUCCCUACCACUCUGACUUCAGAGUGCUCACACGUUUGAUGUUCUACGUACGCCAAGGGGUCCCCCACCCCGGGGGUUGGAAAGUCAGUUCUGUCUUACCCGUAACCCCGGAAGAGAAGCAAAGCCACCUGCUGGCCUCCAGGGUGCUCGUGUUGAGUGUGUGUGGUCGUUGUCUGGAGGGCCGACUGUGUCCUCCAGCUGUGGACUCAGAGUCACCCGGCUCCAGGCAGACGCACAUCUGGGCCUCCACGGGACGUCCACCAGAGGCACAUCGAGCGGCAGGGAGGGUGUUCGCUUUGAGCACGCAGCUCCGCUCCCCUGCGGCCGAGGCACCCGACUCCUCCCGCUCCGUCUCCAGACCAGGACGCUCCGUGCAGGGCUGAGAACCCGCAUUUAGCUGCCUUCUCUUCGACGUGACGCAUCUGAACAUUACAACACCAAGAGGCAUGUAGCUGUUGGUACCUCUCCACGCAAACAUCAGACUUCUGCACCAGGAGGCAGCGUGACAGGUACUUACUGUAGUUUCCAGCGAGUUGGUCUCAGAUGUAGAUGAGCAGGAUUUCCCGGGAAGGGGUGGAACCUUGUGGUGGGCUCGGCCCAAACCUGCCGGGGCAUCGCAGGUGCCUUUGUGGCUGACUGUGGGUCCCACCUGCCCCUUCCCUAUCCCACUGGCACCCCAGUCCAGGAGGGUCUCUCCAAGCCUGCCCCCCCAGCAAGGGGCCUCGGGCUACACUCAGCCGACAUCCAUAACGCUGCCUCUGAACGUGAGCCGCUGUGGCGUCCUCCUUGCUGCGAGAACAGCACCAUGUUUGAACUCUCUCCCAGAAGCUCCUCAAGCCAGGAAUCUCGUUCCCGUUGUGCUGGGGAAAGAUGACGAUGAUGCUCAGACAUGACGUAUGCAUAAAUGGUAGAUCUUGUUUAAAAAAAAAAAAAACCGUCUGCAGAGCAAGGCGCUACAGUGAUCACUCAGCGUGAGUAGUUGAAACUUCUUUUCUGUGUUUCUCUGUGUAGUCUAAAUUUUUGCAACGGAAAUGUGUUAAUGGCUCUGAUUAUAAGAACAGUGUAUUUACUGGGUUAAGAAGGGCCCCCCGACAGAUGUCUUAAGACAGUACUGGUUGCUGCAGUCUAAUCUCAAGACGACAUGCCUGUCACACUUCUGCUCUGUGCCUGCAGGGCCGGUGGAUGAGAAUGCCCCAGACGAGCUCAUGCCCAGACGAGAUCAUGGAGGGGGGGUGGGGGGUGGCCAGGCAGCCUCCACGUAGACGGGCCGUGUGACACCAAUAUGAGAAGGACCCAGCUCGGGGCAUGCUGUCUCAGAAAAUCAAAAGGGGCUUCCUGGAGGAGGCAGGGCAUGCACUGUACCUGUUACUGCUGGACAGGACAUGGAAGGCCUUUCAAGUAGAAGGAGCUCCAGGCACCUUAGAGCAGAGGAAACCAGGGGCCCAGAGGGCAGUGGUGAUGGUCGGGCAAGGGGGAGGGCCGACACUCUUGCCACCGGGGGUGCGGUGACAUGUGUGGGGUCAGCUCUGGGUGAAGUUCCAGAUGGCAAUCAGGAGAGCAGCGCAUAGCAGGCCUCACAGGCAUCAGGGGACACCACAGCCCCUACAGCCCUGACUUUGUCUGGCGGGAGCCCCCUAGGUCUGCAAAGACCUGCCUCAUCUUACAGCCUUUCCUCACCUUACUGCCCUGGGAUGGUGGACUUUUCUGAAUCCCUCCUUUGUCACUGAAGUUCGCCCAGCGCCCCAUGCAGGGAACGGCCACAAGACCUGAGUUCCUGGCAGGGGAGAUAGGCUGUGAGGAGUGCAGGCCCCAAGGAGAUCACGGGGGCCUCACCUAGCACCCCGCUGUCCUCGAGGCCAGGACUGCAUCACCGGCACCCUGGGGACCCAUGAGAACGGAGGCGCCUUGCCCGGCGGAGAAGCCUGCUCGUCUCUGCAUCCCUUGUUUUACAUAAUUAGGACGUAUGGAGCCGUCAGCAAACCAUUAAUCUCUCUUUGAACCGCGGUGACAAUGUUUACAUUUAAGAUCAAGAUGACGGUUAUUGGAAGAACUCCCCCAGAAGCUCUUCUCGCAGCUGGAAAAACACGGCAGCUGGUGAACAGAGAGAGCCGUUGAUGGGCCAGAAGUGACCACGAGGCGGUCCGGGAGACCCACACUUACAGAGGGCGCUGCCCGGGGAGGCAGGCAUCUGACAGCAGCUUGUCCGCAGGUUGGAGCCGGCUUCGAGAACGGGGAAGCCUGAGCCACGCGGUUCGUGGCUGGGCAUUCUGGCCACGCUUGCGGGAAACUGCUUUCGACAAACCAACUACAAGGAGAAGUUUCUGAAAAGAAGUGUUUCUAGAAUUUGUGCCCGAACAACACAGAAAAGAACCAGGGACUCGCAGAGGUGAAAAGCCAGCUUUCUGAGCAUUCUGGGAACCUUCUGGCAAGUCCUUCAUUUUAAGAGAGACCUCUGGGUGCCCUCCAACACCCUGCAGGGCCUUCCCCUGGGCAUCGUCCAUCUUGGCACUUUGCACACUGAGCGCUGAGACCCAACGCCUUGUAAGGUCUGGUCAAAUGGCGGUCCCUGUGUUGGCACGACGGAGCCUUCUUUGUCACAGGCCUCUUCAGAGAGCACUUUAGUAAAUACGGGACGUUACCAACAAAACACUGACAUUUUCAUCCUUCAUCAGAACUGGCGGCUGCGAUCCUUACAACACGCCGUGAUAGGUUGCAUUUCCCCCAGGAAGGAUUAGCGUUUUGCUCCCAAACAACCCAGCUAUGUAGAUGUGAAGCCCAAGGCCACCACCUCAACAUCGGUCCUGAUCCCACUGGGCAGCGAAGCUCUCCUACUUCUCAUUCUAGAGUCAACUCUUGAACACCCACAAAUGUCCGUGCAUGCUAAGAGCUGACUAUGGUUAACGUUCCAGGAACCUGAAGAAGAGCCCCUGUGAGACCUGGAAAAGGGCAGUUAGUCUGUGCUGUGUGUGCAGUGACUUUGCACGGUCUUGUGGGGUUACCCUCUGGUGUCCUAGCCCAGCCAUUUCUCCCCCAGGCACACUCCCCAGGGAGUCUGGUGUGUGCCCAGAAGCCAGGCCUGGGUGCAAGAGUGAAAACAGUGGUCAGUCCAGACACCCGUCCAGAGAAGGACAGGUGCAUGCAUAGUGGAAAUCACACCACUUGGAGGGUGAGUAGAGCUCCGUGCCACAGUGUGGGCGAGUCUCGGGGUCACGAGUCCACAAAGCAGGCUGCGGGAGACUGCCUGGGGCACGGUACUAAUUUUGUAAAGGUCACAAACAAGAGCUUUUUUAUUAUUAAGUUUAUAAAAAGAUUUAUUUACUUCUAAGAGAGC